UACGGGGGGGGCAAGCGUUGUUCGGAAUUACUGGGCGUAAAGGGCUCGUAGGAGCCGCCAACUAAGUCAGACGUGAAAUCCCUCGGCUUAACCGGGGAACUGCGUCUGAUACUGGAUGGCUUGAGUUUGGGAGAGGGAUGCGGAAGUCCAGGUGUAGCGGUGAAAUGCGUAGAUAUCUGGAGGAACACCGGUGGCGAAGGCGGCAUCCUGGACCAACACUGACGCUGAGUGAGCGAAGC
rnacentral:rRNA from 1 species